rnacentral:misc_RNA from 1 species
GAUGAAGAACGUAGCGAAAUGCGAUAAGUAAUGCGAAUUGCAGAAUUUCCGUGAGUCAUCGAAUCUUUGAACGCACAUUGCGCCCGCCAGUAUUCUGGCGGGCAUGCCUGUUCGAGCGUCAUUUCAACCAUCAAGCCCUGCUUGCGUUGGGGUCCUGCGGCUGCCCGCAGGCCCUGAAAACCAGUGGCGGGCUCGCUAGUCACACCGAGCGCAGUAAUACAUCUCGCUUUGGGCGUGCGGCGGGUUCUUGCCGUUAAACCCCCCCUUUUUACCAAGGUUGACCUCGGAUCAGGUAGGAAUACCCGCUGAACUUAAGCAUAUCAAUAAGCGGAGGA